AGGGUUUGAUUAUGGCUCAGAACGUACGCUGGCGGCACGCCUAAUACAUGCAAGUCGAACGAAGUAGCAAUACUUAGUGGCAGACGGGUGAGUAACAUGUGGGUAUCUUCCCUUUGGUGAGGAAUAACACGAGGAAACUUGUGCUAAUACCUCAUAAGUCUUUACGGAGAAAGCUUUAUGCGCCAAUGGAUGAGCCUGCACUUGAUUAGUUUGUUGGUGGGGUAAUGGCCUACCAAGACUUAGAUCAAUAGCUGAUUUGAGAGGAUGAUCAGCCACAUUGGGACUGAGACACGGCCCAAACUCCUACGGGAGGCAGCAGUAGGGAAUCUUGCACAAUGGAGGAAACUCUGAUGCAGCGAUGCCGCGUGAGUGAAGAAGGCCUUUGGGUUGUAAAGCUCUUUCGUCGGGGAAGAAAAUGACUGUACCCGAAUAAGAAGGUCCGGCUAACUUCGUGCCAGCCGCCGCGGUAAUAC
rnacentral:rRNA from 1 species